GAUACUGGGAAGCUAGAGUAUGGGAGAUGAUGGUAGAAUUCCAUGUGUAGCGGUGAAAUGCGUAGAGAUCUGGAGGAAUACCGAUGGCGAAGGCAGCCAUCUGGCCUAAUACUGACGCUGAGGUACGAAAGCAUGGGGAGCAAACAGGAUUAGAUACCCUGGUAGUCCAUGCCGUAAACGAUGUCUACUAGCCGUUGGGGCCUUUGAGGCUUUAGUGGCGCAGCUAACGCGAUAAGUAGACCGCCUGGGGAGUACGGUCGCAAGACUAAAACUCAAAUGAAUUGACGGGGGCCCGCACAAGCGGUGGAGCAUGUGGUUUAAUUCGAUGCAACGCGAAGAACCUUACCUGGUCUUGACAUAGUAAGAACUUUCCAGAGAUGGAUUGGUGCCUUCGGGAACUUACAUACAGGUGCUGCAUGGCUGUCGUCAGCUCGUGUCGUGAGAUGUUGGGUUAAGUCCCGCAACGAGCGCAACCCUUUUCCUUAUUUGCCAGCACUUCGGGUGGGAACUUUAAGGAUACUGCCAGUGACAAACUGGAGGAAGGCGGGGACGACGUCAAGUCAUCAUGGCCCUUACGACCAGGGCUACACACGUGCUACACUGGUCGGUACAAAGGGUUGCUACCUAGCGAUAGGAUGCUGA
rnacentral:rRNA from 1 species